rnacentral:rRNA from 1 species
AACGUAGGACGCAAGCGUUAUCCGGAGUUACUGGGCGUAAAGCGCGGGCAGGCGGUCUUGCCAGUCUGAUGUGAAAUCUCUCAGCUCAACUGGGAGCAGCCAUUGGAAACUACAAGACUGGAGUCUGACAGAGGUAGGCGGAAUUCCGGGUGGAGUGGUGAAAUGCGUAGAGAUCCGGAGGAACACCAGAGGCGAAGGCGAGUCCCUGGACAGAUCCUGACGCUCAUGCACGAAAGCGUGGGGAGCAAACAGG